GCAUGGCCCAGGUGACGGUCGUCGUGCUGCCCAGUGGCCGCAUGGUGAACUCGGCGAUGUUGUGGGCCUCGAACGGGCUGAAGAAAUCCAGCUUGAUGACGAUCUUUCAAGAAUCUCCAUGCGGCCAUGGCCGAUAUUCUUGUUGCCGGUCCACUCGUACACAGAGCCCUUGCCGCUCGGCGCGCCGCUGAAGGUCCGCUGCAUGG
rnacentral:misc_RNA from 1 species